AAAAAAAAAAAAAAAAAAAAAGAAGAAGAAGUUUCGGGUAGGCUUAUAAUGGAAAUCCACUGCGAACAAACACUAUAGAAAUCCAGUGCUCAGGAAAAAGCUUCUUUUUUGUUUUAUCUUCUCCGUACUUAGCAAUCCAAACACAAUAGAAAUCGCUGCAGAACCUUCUCUUUCCCACUUGCUUUCUCUCUACAUGUUCGAUUAGGGUUUCUGACUAUUGUGGUGUCAGAUUGGGUCAUUCACUCCCACGGUUGUAAUUUGUCUGUGAGAGCCUACGAGAAUGCCUCGCACAUCCAAAAGAAAAGCGGCCCCACCAUCCGUCAAAUCGUCUGAUGCCGUUCCUGUUCGUCCCGGUAAAGCUAUAUCAAAAACGGUGGAACAGAUCGAUCGCCUAUUUGAUUCAUAUGCAAACCCAUCCUUAGGCUUGAUUGAUCCAGAAGGAAUUGAAACACUUUGUUCUGAUGUGGGAGUGAACCAUACUGAUAUUAGGAUACUGAUGCUUGCUUGGAAAAUGAAUGCUGAAAAACAGGGCUAUUUUUCAAAGGAUGAAUGGCGAACAGGACUAAAAGCUCUAAAGGCUGACAGUCUAAAUAAAUUAAAGAAAGCACUCCCAGCACUUGAGACACAGGUGAUGAUGCCACCAAACUUUCAAGAUUUCUAUGCUUACGCAUUUCGAUACUGCCUUACAGAAGAAAAGCAAAAGUGUGUAGACAUCGAGACAAUCUGUGAAUUGCUGAAUCUUGUUCUUGGUUCCCAAUUCCAUGCCCAGGUUAAUUCAAUGAGCGAGUAUCUAAAGUUCCAGAGUGAGUACCGGAUGCUAAAUAUGGAUCAGUGGAUGAACUUCUAUCGUUUUUGCCAUGAGGUAUAAACCUUUUUUAUAACCCCUACGGGUUGGCUGAAGUGGUAAAGGUCUUGGGCCUGGGGGUAUGCUCCCCUUAGGUCUACGGCUCAAAUCUCCUAGGGUGCAAAUGAUCUCUAGGGGCCAUUGGACUGGGGGAUUUUCUCCUUGAAUUACCCGAUGUGUACUUGCAGGAAACUCUUUGCCGAUAGCCUAUGCACCCCUAGGAUUAGUUGGAAUGCUGUUCCUGAACACCCGGUGCCAAUCAAAAAAUAAUCAACCCUUUUUAUUCUGGUGCUUUUAGAUACUGAACCCUUUGUCUUUGUUUUUUGGCAGAUAAGUUUUCCUGAUCUUCAAAACUAUGAUUCCAACCAAGCUUGGCCCUUGAUUCUUGAUGGAUUUGUUGAAUGGAUGAGAGAAAAGCAAUGCUAAUUUCAGCACCGUUGAUUAUAUAGAGCACUGGGGUGGAUGUUGCAAAAUUUGAUUCUGAACUAACAAACCGAUGGUAUGAUACCUACAACAUCAAAUGAAGCCGCUUCCCACAAAGUUGCACUGUUGUGAUAUACUCUGGAGAUUCUUCAGGCAUUUAUAUUACAUUGUUCAAGUUUUGCAGUCUCGUUUCUGUAACAUCUAUAUUUUACUGUCAUAUUUUUUUUUCCCUUGAUGCUGUUGACUGGGCUAUAAUUUUUUAGUUGGACAUGAGCUAUACACGAUUUCAGAAGAGUGAUUCAAUUAAAAAGGGCUAACCUUCUCGGCUAA